rnacentral:rRNA from 1 species
GACGAGGGAUCCUAGCGUUGCUCGGAAUCAUUGGGCGUAAAGAGGGCGUAGGUGGCUUGGUAAGUCAGGUGUGAAAGCCCAGGGCUCAACCCUGGAAGUGCAUUUGAUACUGCUGAGCUUGAGUGUUAGAGAGGUUACCGGAAUACCUGGUGUAGUGGUGAAAUACGUAGAUAUCAGGUGGAACACCGGAGGCGAAGGCGGGUAACUGGCUAAACACUGACACUGAGGCCCGAAAGCGUGGGGAUCAAAC